GAGUAUUUCAGAUGCACAAAUUUUAUCUCUAUUCUCACAGCUUUAUCUAUUGCAUGCAGACUUUUAAGUUAAGACACUCAGCACCUCAAGCACUGGACCAUGGUUGUUAAGCUCAAGAAAGAGAAGGGAACAUCAAUUCAAGAAGGCAACAGAGAUGUUAAUUGUAAUAGAUCCACUGAUGUAAUUCUCAUAACUGAGUUGCUCUAUCUUGACCUACAUCAGCUGUGCAUGAGAACUGCAACUUUCUCUUUUUCACCAAGUAAUUGAAAGUAAAAUUGUAGAAACUUAAAAAGAGGUAUCAGGAAAAUUUUCUGGGACAAUGUUAAUGACUCUUCAUUUGAACAAAAAAGAUGAGCUGCGUUAUCUUACUAUGUGACCAAGCUGAUAUAAUGAAGCAAAUGGCUUUUAUUGCUCAACUACUGUUUGGCUCAGUGUAAGCAACAUAUUAAUAAACAA
rnacentral:lncRNA from 1 species